CACCCCUUCUGAGAGGCGGUCGUGGGCCUCAUUUGAGAGGUGUGGGGGAACGUGGUAGAGGAAAAGACCACGGACCAAGACAGCUGUAACAACAGCAAAGAGUGUCCAAUGAAAUCCGAGCAAUAGUUGUAGACCAUGACGUAAAUCAUGGCAUGACAAUGAUUCAACCAAACCUCAGAAUAUCAACCAUGGCCUCAAUCAUCAGAACUUUCUGCAAUGAGAACUGAAUUGAGACUAGUCCAAAUAGUGGAGGCAGAGUCAAAAUUCUGAAUGACCAACAAGAGCGGGCUGUGGUCAAUUUGGUUCGGGCCAGAAAUGAUAUUCGCCUUACAGAAAUUCAGCAGCACAUCUUGGACAAUGACGACAUGUUGAACAAUGUGGAAGCCAUAAGUUUGCUGAUUAUUGCCCACAUGCUGAAAAGGCACCAGGUGUCUCUUAAACAGCUAUACUGUGUGCCUUUUGAAAGAAAUGCAGACCGAGUGAAGCAACUGAGUACGUUCAGAGGGUGACGGAGUUGGAUGCUGAUGAAAACCACAAAUUCCUCUUUUUGGAUGAGGCAGGCUUCAACCUGGCCAAGACGAGGAAAGGCCAGAAUUUCAUUGGCCAGCGGGCAACCAUCCAAGUACCUGGACAAUGUGGGGCAAACAUCACCAUCUGUGAGACUAUAUCAGAAGAUGGUGUGGUGGGACGCAAACCUCGUAUCGGAUCAUAUAAUGCAGCUCUCCUUGUAACCCUCCUUGAUGAGCUAAAUCAGGUCUGUAAAGCUAAUGGCGUGACCUAUGUCAUUGUGUGUGAUAAUGUCAGGUUCAACCAUGUUCAAAUGGUGCAAGCAUGGUUUCAGGCCCAUCCACAAUUUACCACCCUGUACUUACCCCCAUACUCUUUCCUUAACCUGAUGGAGUAAUUUUUCUCCACAUGGAGAUGGAAUGUACUGUAUAUGAUAGGCGCCCUCACGAACAAGCCACCCUUCUCCAGGCCAUGGAUGACGCAUGCAAUGACAUCACAGCAGACCAGUGUCAGGCCUGGAUUCGCCAUGCCCGAAGAUUCUUCUCGAGUUGUUUGGCUAAUGAAAAUAUUCAUUGUGAUGUGGAUGAGAACCUGUGGCCAAAUCCACAAGACAGGGUUGAUGGAAAUAUAGAAGUAUAGUAAUCAAUACUCUGUUUUGCUUUUUCCUUUUUUAUGUAUCUAUUUUAGUUUGGUCAGGGCGUGAGUUGGGGGUGGGCAUUC